GAUGAAGAACGUAGCGAAAUGCGAUAAGUAAUGUGAAUUGCAGAGUUCAGUGAAUCAUCGAAUCUUUGAACGCACAUUGCGCCCGUCAGUAUUCUGGCGGGCAUGCCUGUUCGAGCGUCAUUACGCCCUUCAAGUCCCCUGUGGACUUGGUGUUGGGGAUCGGCGAGGCUGGUUUUCCAGCACAGCCGUCCCUUAAAUUAAUUGGCGGUCUCGCCGUGGCCCUCCUCUGCGCAGUAGUAAAACACUCGCAACAGGAGCCCGGCGCGGUCCACUGCCGUAAAACCCCCCAACUUUUUAUAGUUGACCUCGAAUCAGGUAGGACUACCCGCUGAACUUAAGCAUAUCAAUAAGCGGAGGA
rnacentral:misc_RNA from 1 species